rnacentral:rRNA from 1 species
GAUGAACGCUGGCGGCGUGCCUAAUACAUGCAAGUCGAGCGAACAGACGAGGAGCUUGCUCCUCUCACGUUAGCGGCGGACGGGUGAGUAACACGUGGAUAACCUACCUAUAAGUCUGGGAUAACUUCGGGAAACCGGAGCUAAUACCGGAUAAUAUAUUGAACCGCAUGGUUCAAUAGUGAAAGACGGCUUUGCUGUCUCUUCUAGCUGGAUCUGCGCCGCAUUAGCUAGUUGGUAAGGUAACGGCUUACCACGGCAACGAUGCGUAGCCGAACUGAGAGGCGGAUAGGCCACACUAGAACGGAGACGCGGACCAGACGCCUACGAGAGGCAGCAGUAGGGAACGGGCGGCAAUAGGCGAAAGCCUGACGGAGCAACGCCGCGUGUGAGAUGAAGGUCUUCGGAGCGUAAUACUCUGUUAUUAGGGAAGAACAAAUGUGUAAUUAGCUAUACACGGCGUGACGGUACCGAGUCAGAAAGCCACGGCUAACUACGUG